GCGCUUACAAGCACCCAAGAGCGAGCACCGCCUUAGACUUGGGGCCGGAGGCAUCUCGCUUGCCUCACCCUUGUCCAGCCCUGAGCUCUCCUGGGCCUCCACAGGCGAGUCAGAAGGAAGCUCAGCACAAAAGCUGCUCCUCAAUGAGGAAUUUCCAGGCCUGGGACCAGCCUGCUUCUGUCCCGGAUCCAUCUCCCCCUCGCAGGGCCGGCUGGUGGAAGAAGUUAACCACAUCAUGACCAGACUGUAGCUAUGACAUAAGCUGCCACAAUUUCAAGAACUGGCCUCAAGGAAAUGCGAACAAACCAACCCCGGAACUAAAGAUGAAUUGUACUUAAAACAAGAUGGCGCUGGUCAGACCACCGAUGACGGAUUUCAAGAUGACAGUCAGAGCUGACCGUGCUGUUUCUGCAUGUAGCCCCCUCCCUCCGUCUAUAAAAGCUCUUGCCCCCUGGUUGUCAGCGUGGGUGGGGUGGGGGCCGGCCUUGGGACAGGCAUCCA